rnacentral:rRNA from 1 species
GACGAACGCUGGCGGCGUGCUUAAUACAUGCAAGUCGAACGGAAAGGCCCGGAUCUUGCGGGGCUCUUGUUAGGAGCACGCGUGAGAGACACGCGUGGAUCAUCUCCCUGUCAUUGUGAUAACACUUGGAAACACGGGCUCUUAUCGGAUAUAAUCUUCUGCUCCACGGUGUGCGUAGGUAAGAGACGGUGUUUGGGUCUGGACUCGCGGCUUAUCAGCUUGUUUGUGGGGUAGUGGCUGACCAAGGCUUUGACGGGUAGCCGGCCUGAGAGGGUGACCGGCCACAUGGGGACUGAGAUCCGGCCCAGACUGCUACGGGAGGCAGCAGUGGGGAAUAUUGCACAAUGGGCGGAAGCCUGAUGCAGCAACGCCGCGUGCGGGAUAACGGCCUUCGGGUUGUAAACCGCUUUCGCCUGUGACGAAGCGUGAGUGACGGUAAUGGGUAAAGAAGCACCGGCUAACUACGUG